rnacentral:rRNA from 1 species
AGCGAACGCUGGCGGCAGGCCUAACACAUGCAAGUCGAACGAACCUUUCGGGGUUAGUGGCGGACGGGUGAGUAACACGUGGGAACGUGCCUUUAGGUUCGGAAUAACUCAGGGAAACUUGUGCUAAUACCGAAUGUGCCCUUCGGGGGAAAGAUUAAUCGCCUUUAGAGCGGCCCGCGUCUGAUUAGCUAGUUGGUUGAGGUAAUGGCUCACCAAGGCGACGAUCAGUAGCUGGUCUGAGAGGAUGAUCAGCCACAUUGGGACUGAGACACGGCCAAAACUCCUACGGGAGGCAGCAGUGGGGAAUCUUGCGCAAUGGGCGAAAGCCUGACGCAGCCAUGCAGCGUGAAUGAUGAAGGUCUUAGGAUUGUAAAAUUCUUUCACCGGGGACGAUAAUGACGGUACCCGGAGAAGAAGCCCCGGCUAACUUCGUG